AAGGCAUGGUGAGGACAUUUGCUAAGAAUUUUCUUAAAUCUCUCUCAACUUUCAUAAAUUAAUUCUCCUUUAAACUGGGUAAAGGAAGUGAUAUCAAUUCGAAGUUU